rnacentral:ncRNA from 1 species
UUAAAAGCGAUGAUUGGGAGCAAGGCUUAACAUCCUGCUUAAGAGAGCCGGUGGUUGGUGCGAACCGGUGCGGAAGUAGGCUAUACUCGCCCAGGAGCUCUUUGUUGAACUGUAUAGUGUGGUUUUGAUACACAUAUACACUAGGCAAUAGCGGAUGCCGUCCGUUAGCAGCAAGUUGUGAGACAUUCAUGACUAAAUGAGUCCAAAGUAGGGUGGUACCGCGCAUUUAGAGCGCCCCUAUG